rnacentral:precursor_RNA from 7 species
GGUGCCCCCCCCGAAGAGGCUGGCGCUGGGUUCAAGUAAUCCAGGAUAGGCUGUGGUCUGGCAGUCAGCCUGUUCUAGGUUACUUGGCUCCGGAGCCCGCCCGACGCUUCGCCCUGGAGA